rnacentral:lncRNA from 1 species
UAAUAAUAAUAAUAAUAAUAAUAAUAAUAAUAAUAAUAAUAAUAAUAAUAAUAAUAAUAAUAAUAAAGCUCAAUGGAGGCAACACCAUCAAGGCCAUAAACACCUGGGCCAUACCUGUCAUAAGAUAUACUGCUGGCAUCAUAAACUGGACACAGAUGGAACUGGACAAUUUGGACAGAAAAACAAGAAAACUCAUGACCAUUCAUCAUUCACUGCACCCCCGCAGUGAUGUUGACCGGCUAUAUCUGCCUAGAAGAUCAGGGGGCAGAGGACUCUUACAAGUCAAACAAGCAGUCAAAGAAGAAGAGCAUGCCCUGGCAGAAUAUGUAAAGCAAAGUGAAGAACCUGCUUUGAUUGAAGUCAAAAAUCAGAAACUCCUCAAAGCACAGCAGACAAAAAACCUGUACAAGAAAACCACACUACAAACUAGAGCUGACAGCUGGCACAACAAAAUAUUGCAUGGAAAGUUCCUUGACAAAAUUGAAGGAAAAGCUGACAAGAAGAAGACCUGGCUCUGGCUCACGAAUGGGACCCUGAAGAAGGAGACAGAAGUCCUGAUCCUUGCAGCCCAGGAGCAAGCCAUCAGAACAAAUGCAAUUAAGGCCAAGAUCGAAAAAUCAGCUGAUGACCCAAAAUGCAGACUGUGUAAGGAAACUGAUGAAACCAUUGAUCAUAUCCUCAGCUGCUGUAAGAAAAUUGCACAGACAGACUACAAACAGGGCCACAACUAUGUGGCCCAAAUGAUUCUUUGGAACUUAUGCCUCAAGUACCACCUCCCAGCAGAAAAGAACUGGUGGGAUCACAAACCUGCAAAAGUAUUGGAAAAUGAGCACGCAAAGAUACUGUGGGACUUCCGAAUCCAGACUGACAAAGUUCUGGAACACAACACACCAGACAUCACAGUUGUGGAAAAGAAAAAGGUUUGGAUCAUUGAUGUUGCCAUCUCAGGUGACAGUCGCAUUGAUGAAAAACAACAAGAAAAACUCAGCCGCUAUCAGGACCUCAAGAUUGAACUGCAAAGACUCUGGCAGAAACCAGUGCAGGUGGUCCCGGUGGUGAUGGGCACACUGGGUGCCGUGCCGAAAGAUCUCAGCCGGCAUUUGGAAACAAUAGACAUUGACAAAAUCACGAUCUGCCAACUGUCAAAGGCCACCCUGCUGGGAUCUGCACGCAUCAUCCGAAAAUACAUCACACAGUCCUAGACACUUGGGAAGUGUUCGACUUGUGAUUUUGUGACACGAAAUCCAGCAUGUCUAUCUUGUUUGCUGUGUCAUAAAAUAUAAUAAUAAUAAUAAUAAUAAUAAUAAUAAUAAUAAUAAUAACAACAACAACAACAACAACAACAACAACAACAACCACAACAACUUUAUUUAUAUCCUGCCCCAUCUUCCUGAAGGGACUCGGGGCUCCUUAUAAGGCAAGACAUU